rnacentral:misc_RNA from 1 species
GAUGAAGAACGUAGCGAAAUGCGAUAAGUAAUGUGAAUUGCAGAAUUCAGUGAAUCAUCGAAUCUUUGAACGCACAUUGCGCCCGCUAGUAUUCUGGCGGGCAUGCCUGUUCGAGCGUCAUUUCAACCAUCAAGCCCUGUUUAGGCUUGUGUUGGGGCCCUGCGGCUGCCGCAGCCCCCUAAAUGCAGUGGCGGGCUCGUUGUCACUCCGAGCGCAGUAGCGUAUCUCGCUCUGGGCGUGGCGGCGGGUGCUAGCCGUGAAACACCCACUAAGGUUGACCUCGGAUCAGGUAGGAAUACCCACUGAACUUAAGCAUAUCAAUAAGCGGAGGA